CAUCACAAUUAGUGUAUUAACUUGAAUGAAUGAAUGAUCGGAUGGUUAAAUUCUUUUCUGGUUUACCUGGAGUUCUUCACUCAUAGUCCUUCAACUUUGAGGUGUGAUUGCAAUCCGAGCUCUCUAGCCAAAAAUUAUGUAUAAUACAGAGUUCAAGAAAGGGAAAGAACAUACAUCACCGAAUAGGAUCUCGUCGGCCUCAAGCAUGUGGAUUAUGUGUCCGAUUUUAGGUCUCUUUAUGGCAUCUGGAUCAACACAUUUAAGAGCAACCAACAGAGCAAAGCUUAAGAGCCUUUGAAGACGGCUUUUCAGGAAGGUUCGGAUCAAUGAGUUCCUCUAAU